UGAGCUGGUGGUGGCCGCAGAGACCAGCGAGAAGCGACUGUUUACUAAAAACACAGGUCCGUGCGAAGCCGUAAGGCGAUGUAUACGGACUGACGCCUGCCCGGUGCUGGAACGUUAAGGGGACCGGUUAGUGGGGUUUUUGAUCCUGCGAAGCUGAGAACUUAAGCGCCAGUAAACGGCGGUGGUAACUAUAACCAUCCUAAGGUAGCGAAAUUCCUUGUCGGGUAAGUUCCGACCUGCACGAAUGGCGUAACGACUUCUCGACUGUCUCAACCAUAGGCCCGGUGAAAUUGCAUUACGAGUAAAGAUGCUCGUUUCGCGCAGCAGGACGGAAAGACCCCGGGACCUUUACUAUAGCUUGAUAUUGGUGUUCGGUUCGGCUUGUGUAGGAUAGGUGGGAGACUGUGAAGCAUUGACGCUAGUUGGUGUGGAGUCGUUGUUGAAAUACCACUCUGGUCGUGCUGGAUGUCUAACCUGGGUCCGUGAUCCGGAUCAGGGACAGUGUCUGGUGGGUAGUUUAACUGGGGCGGUUGCCUCCUAAAGGGUAACGGAGGCGCCCAAAGGUUCCCUCAGCCUGGUUGGCAAUCAGGUGUUGAGUGUAAGUGCACAAGGGAGCUUGACUGUGAGACCGACGGGUCGAGCAGGGACGAAAGUCGGGACUAGUGAUCCGGCGGUGGCUUGUGGAAGCGCCGUCGCUCAACGGAUAAAAGGUACCCCGGGGAUAACAGGCUGAUCUUCCCCAAGAGUCCAUAUCGACGGGAUGGUUUGGCACCUCGAUGUCGGCUCGUCGCAUCCUGGGGCUGGAGUCGGUCCCAAGGGUUGGGCUGUUCGCCCAUUAAAGCGGUACGCGAGCUGGGUUUAGAACGUCGUGAGACAGUUCGGUCCCUAUCCGCUGUGCGCGUAGGAGUCUUGAGAAGGGCUGUCCCUAGUACGAGAGGACCGGGACGGACGAACCUCUGGUGUGCCAGUUGUUCUGCCAAGGGCAUGGCUGGUUGGCUACGUUCGGGAGGGAUAACCGCUGAAAGCAUCUAAGCGGGAAGCCUGCUUCGAGAUGAGGGCUCCCACCCACUUGAUGGGUUAAGGCUCCCAGUAGACGACUGGGUUGAUAGGCCAGAUAUGGAAGCCGGGUGACCGGUGGAGUUGACUGGUACUAAUAGGCCGAGGGCUUGUCCUCAGUUG
rnacentral:rRNA from 1 species